rnacentral:lncRNA from 1 species
GCCACUUAUUAUAUAAAGCUUUUUUUUUUAUUUUACCUAACUUGUUAACGUAAGACUGUUCAUUCUUAGUCUAUUAUUAUUUGCCCCUUUGAGUAGGAUCUGCUCACACUUCCGGAGCACUUCAGAUCACCCUCAGUUUUUGGUGGGGGUUUGUGUUGCUUAGUCUUUAGUUUUCUAUCUUGUGUCUUGUGUACUAUAAUUUGUCUUUUUGUCUUUUAUUUUUUAGCCAUGACGUUGCCAGUUUAUUUUCAAUCUAUGAGUUUGACUGUCCCUCUCGUAUCUUUUGCCCCUCUUUGACAAUAUAAUUUUUAUUGAUGAAUUUUGUCAAAUAAUCUGACCAAUUCUUUGGUAGCUGUCUUUUAUCAAAUACUGUUUUGUUCUGUUUUGGGUAACAUAAUACGAGUUAAUAUUCUUUAUCAAAAUAAAAUAAUAAUGCCAAUAUCCCACUAAAGGCACUAUUUUGGUUGCUUAUUUUUUUU